rnacentral:lncRNA from 1 species
AGAAGUGCUGGAUAUCCUGCAGCAACAGACUUCUCCUUAAAGCAUCUCCCUGUUGUCUUCAUCCAAGCAUGUUGGACAGCAAUCCUCCAUAUUAAUGGAAAGCCACAAUCCAAUUAAAGGGCUGCAGUUCCAUGUGACAGCACUGAGAGGCUCCGAUGUCUGACGGGAAAUGCCGCCAUCUGGGCCUUGCACCUACCCUCCUUUCCGCUGCUUCCAUUGUGAUGUCCCAGUCUUGCUUUCCGUGGGCACGUCUGGAAUGCUGCCAUUUUCCAAAUGCCAAUAAUGUGACAAUCAGCUUGCUGCUCGGGAGAACAACUCAGCCCUAGAAAAGUUGGUAAUGAUUUCAGAAGUUCUUUUGAGUUUUUAAUCACAACACAGAGAGGAAAUGCCCCAUUUGUGUGUGAUUGUGACAGAGAUGAAAAGCAAUUUCAGAUCACUGGGGAACAUCGACAGCUGCAGAAGCCUCCAGUUAAGUGCUGGCUGCAUUGUUUAGACAGGAGUGCCUGUCUUGGACGGCCACUUACUCAGGGAGGGUCAGGAUCAGGAACAUCUGGAGCUCAGUAAAUAAUUUGAUGU